rnacentral:rRNA from 1 species
UGGGGAAUAUUGGACAAUGGGCGAAAGCCUGAUCCAGCCAUGCCGCGUGAGUGAUGAAGGCCCUAGGGUUGUAAAGCUCUUUUGUGCGGGAAGAUAAUGACGGUACCGCAAGAAUAAGCCCCGGCUAACUUCGUGCCAGCAGCCGCGGUAAUACGAAGGGGGCUAGCGUUGCUCGGAAUCACUGGGCGUAAAGGGUGCGUAGGCGGGUUUCUAAGUCAGAGGGGAAAGCCUGGAGCUCAACUCCAGAACUGCCUUUGAUACUGGAAGUCUUGAGUUCGGGAGAGGUGAGUGGAACUGCGAGUGUAGAGGUGAAAUUCGUAGAUAUUCGCAAGAACACCAGUGGCGAAGGCGGCUCACUGGCCCGAUACUGACGCUGAGGCACGAAAGCGUGGGGAGCAAACA